UCUAAGUAUAACCUGCCAGACAGGGAAACUGCGUACGGCUCAUUACACCAGCCUUAAUUUACUUGACCUUGACAACCUACUUGGAUAACUGUGGUAAUUCUAGAGCUAAUACAUGCACCAAAGCUCCGAUCCUCGCGGAGAGGAGCGCAUUUGUUCGCCACAAAACCAAGCGCCCAUCUGGGCGUCCAGUGCUGAACCAGAACAACUCAGCUGAUCGCACGGUCUUGUACCGGCGACGUGUCUUUCAAGUGUCUGCCUUAUCAACUUUCGAUGGUAGUGUACCUGACUACCAUGGUUGUGACGGGUAACGGAGGAUAAGGGUUCGACUCCGGAGAAGGGGCCUGAGAAAUGGCCACUACGUCUAAGGAUGGCAGCAGGCGCGCAAAUUACCCACUCUCAACGCGAGGAGGUACUGACGAGAAAUAACGAGACCGUUCUCAUACGAGGCCGGUUAUUGGAAUGGGUACAAUUUAAA
rnacentral:rRNA from 1 species